UGCACGGAGUUGGGUUCAUCACACUCCUCAGCUCAUGGCCCCUGAGAGGAUUGAAGGAAGGUUCUCAGUUUAAUAUUCUGAGGGCAGGAACCUUGCCUGAUCUGUGUCUCCUCUGAGCCCAGCACACAGGAAGCGCAACUAAGAAGGACCUUGAGGUUGGGUGUUGAAAAACUGAGAGAUGAGAGAGGCAGUGGCACAAAUUGUCCCCUUCUGGGUGGCAGGGGCGGAGACAAGGAUUGGCCACGGCUCGGUGAAGUGUCUGUCGUCUGGUGACCAGCUUUGGACAAACCUGGAGGAUACAGGGCAUGGUUUGUUGAGGGCACGUGCGGGGACUGGAUUUGGAAAGUCAAGUGAAGAGGGGUUGGGGAUGUCUCGAUUCUCAGCUCAGAGCUUUGAGGUAGAGAGGCCGAGGGCUCCUGGGCAGGGGAGUGUUAUAGGAGAGUGUGGGUUGAGAGAGGUGACCUCUGGGGACCAGAUGCACUCUUCCUGUGCAGGCUGGGCUCUUCCAGGCAGCCUCCAGCAGCCACACGUAGCCUUGUGGCUUCAGCGCGCAGCUAGGCACGGCCCGUGCAAAGGUUGUGAUUAUGUGGAUCAGAACCGGCUUUUCCCUGGGAGGAGGGGAAGGAUGUCUCCUCUUUUUCUUCUUCAGUUUUUCCUGAGAAAAAGAAAACAACAACAACAACAACAACAAAAACAACCAAACCCCCAAAACAAGGAAGUACUCCUCCCUGUGUCCUUCAAAGCGCUGUGGCAUCUUCAGAUCUGGGUACUUGAAAGCUAAAGCUGGUCAUAAUUUCCGAUGGACAUAAUGUGCAUUUGAAAUUCUUUUCCACAUCAAAUUAAAUCUGUCUUGGACUGAUUUCCUGGAAGUGUUUUUCAUUAGAAUAAUAGUCCUCAGCUGAGAGAUCAGAUACCGCAGAAGAGGAAACAGGAACAGGGGACCAUCAAGUACAUCCUUCAGGGAGAUACCCAGUGGUUGCCUCUGGGGGACUAUUCGGGAGAGACCAUCCCUUCUCUAGGCCUGUACCAGGGAAGAUGUCCCACCAGUUACUUCAGUGAUACAAUCUUUCUUUCUUUCUCUUUCUUUUCUUUUCUUUUUUCUUUUCUUUUCUUUUCUUUUCUUUUCUUUUCUUUUCUUUUCUUUUCUUUUCUCUUUUUUUUUCUUUUUUCUUUUCUUUUCUUUCUUUUUCUUUUCUUUUCUUUCUUUUCUUUUCUUUCUUCUUUCUUUUCUUUUCUUUUCUUUUCUUUUCUUUUCUUUCUCUCUCUUUUCUUGAGACAUAACCAGCAGGGGAGAGGGGCAGAAGGAGAGAGAGGGAGAAUCCUAAACAGGCUCCACACUCAGCACAGACCCCAAUGUAGGGCUCGAUCCCACGACACUGGAAUCAUGACCUAAGCUGAAAUCCAGAGUUGGACACUCACCCGACUGAGCCCCCUAGGCACCCCGUUUUUAACUUAAAGUGUAAACAAAAAAGGAAUUGGGUUCAACUAGGAAGCCACCCACUAACCCCCAC
rnacentral:lncRNA from 1 species